rnacentral:tRNA from 1 species
GCAAUGGUGAUUCAGUGGUAGAAUUCUUGCCUUUCACACAGUAGACCAGGUUUGAUUCCCGGCCAGUGUA